AAGGGUUUGAUCCUGGCUCAGAUUGAACGCUGGCGGCAGGCCUAACACAUGCAAGUCGAGCGGAUGAAGGGAGCUUGCUCCUGGAUUCAGCGGCGGACGGGUGAGUAAUGCCUAGGAAUCUGCCUGGUAGUGGGGGAUAACGUCCGGAAACGGGCGCUGAUACCGCAUACGUCCUGAGGGAGAAAGUGGGGGAUCUUCGGACCUCACGCUAUCAGAUGAGCCUAGGUCGGAUUAGCUAGUUGGUGGGGUAAAGGCCUACCAAGGCGACGAUCAGUAACUGGUCUGAGAGGAUGAUCAGUCACACUGGAACUGAGACACGGUCCAGACUCCUACGGGAGGCAGCAGUGGGGAAUAUUGGACAAUGGGCGAAAGCCUGAUCCAGCCAUGCCGCGUGUGUGAAGAAGGUCUUCGGAUUGUAAAGCACUUUAAGUUGGGAGGAAGGGCAGUAAGUUAAUACCUUGCUGUUUUGACGUUACCAACAGAAUAAGCACCGGCUAACUUCGUGCCAGCAGCCGCGGUAAUACGAAGGGUGCAAGCGUUAAUCGGAAUUACUGGGCGUAAAGCGCGCGUAGGUGGUUCAGCAAGUUGGAUGUGAAAUCCCCGGGCUCAACCUGGGAACUGCAUCCAAAACUACUGAGCUAGAGUACGGUAGAGGGUGGUGGAAUUUCCUGUGUAGCGGUGAAAUGCGUAGAUAUAGGAAGGAACACCAGUGGCGAAGGCGACCACCUGGACUGAUACUGACACUGAGGUGCGAAAGCGUGGGGAGCAAACAGGAUUAGAUACCCUGGUAGUCCACGCCGUAAACGAUGUCGACUAGCCGUUGGGAU
rnacentral:rRNA from 1 species